UUCACAGGUAAGCAUUGAUCAUAUUUCAUACACUAGAGGACUGGGUCUGAAUGUUGUGAGUUACCAUGGGGAGUCUGACAUGCAAAUGUGUCGAGUGAUGUUUGGGAACGAUUCAACAACGAUACACACACGAGCGACGAGGGUAAUCCAAGGUUUAGUGAGUUAGUUUUUGGUUUAGAGUUAGAGUAACAGUUUGUCAACAUGAAAUGAAAAUGAAUCAAACAAUUUUUCAAGCUAA